rnacentral:rRNA from 1 species
UACGAAGGGGGCUAGCGUUGUUCGGAUUUACUGGGCGUAAAGCGCACGUAGGCGGAUCGAUCAGUCAGGGGUGAAAUCCCAGGGCUCAACCCUGGAACUGCCUUUGAUACUGUCGAUCUGGAGUAUGGAAGAGGUGAGUGGAAUUCCGAGUGUAGAGGUGAAAUUCGUAGAUAUUCGGAGGAACACCAGUGGCGAAGGCGGCUCACUGGCCCGGAACUGACGCUGACGGUGCGAAAGCGUGGGGAGCA